rnacentral:rRNA from 1 species
AACGCGAAGAACCUUACCAGGUCUUGACAUCCUUUGACCACUCUAGAGAUAGAGCUUUCCCUUCGGGGACAAAGUGACAGGUGGUGCAUGGUUGUCGUCAGCUCGUGUCGUGAGAUGUUGGGUUAAGUCCCGCAACGAGCGCAACCCUUAUUGUUAGUUGCCAUCAUUUAGUUGGGCACUCUAGCGAGACUGCCGGUGACAAACCGGGGGAAAGUGGGGAUGACGUCAAAUCAUCAUGCCCCUUAUGACCUGGGCUACACACGUGCUACAAUGGGAAGUACAACGAGUCGCUAGACCGCGAGGUCAUGCAAAUCUCUUAAAGCUUCUCUCAGUUCGGAUUGCAGGCUGCAACUCGCCUGCAUGAAGCCGGAAUCGCUAGUAAUCGCGGAUCAGCACGCCGCGGUGAAUACGUUCCCGGGUCUUGUACACACCG